rnacentral:lncRNA from 1 species
UGCUGCAGUCCAUGAGGUCGCAAAGAGUUGGACAUGACUGAGUGACUGAAUUGAGGCAUAUUCUAAAUGGGAAAAGUAUCAUAAAAAUUAUAACAACUUCCAGUUUAAUAUAUGUGUGACAUAACAACAUUACCAAUGGAUUUCUGUAGAAUUCUAUGCAAAAUUAUCUUAAAGAUGAUCAUAAAAGCUAAUGAAUGCAUGCUAAAUGUUGACUUCUAGGUGUCAUUCCAUUUUAAGAAAACAUGAAAGUUGCUCAGUCCUGUCCACCUCUUUGUGACCCCAUGGACUGUAGCCCUCCAGGUUCCUCUGUNNNNNNNNNNNNNNNNNNNNNNNNNNNNNNNNNNNNNNNNNNNCCCUUCUCCAGGGGAUCUUCCUGACCCAAGGAUCAAACUCAGGUCUCCUGAGUUGCAGGCAGAUUCUUUACAUCAGGGAAACUUGCUUAAAAAAAAAAAAAAAAAGGUAUCCUGUAUUUAAAUCCAAAAAAAUACCCGACACAUAUUUUAGCACAGUUCUAGGAAACAGUCAAGGUAUAAUUAUGAGUAUUAUAAUUUAUAAUGAUCAAAAAUUUUUUGAAAAUAGUUGAUGGGAUUGACCUUAUAAAAAAUGUUGAACUAGGUGAAGUUUUAUUUAUUUGUGUUCUGACUCUUCUUUUGUGUUUCUUGAGCCCAUAUUUUUACUCCUCUCUACUCAAAUAUCUUUCAUGUUUCGUAGGGCUUUUCAUUCCAGCAAUUCUUUACACACUAAGAUUCAUUGGUUCCAAAAUUUUUGGUCUCUAUCCUGGUCAGGAAGCAGAAAAAAAGGGGUUCAAAGAACAAUUCAACAAAUGUGUAUUUAUUUAUAAAUUAGUACAAGUCUUCUGUAGUAGUAUAUAUUUAUUGAUAUGUAUUUGAAAUAUAAGUAAGUAUUCUGUUUCAAUCAUAUAAAAACUUAAAUCUAUGGGCUAGUGAAGUGAAUUAUAAUGAUUGAGACUACAAAUUGUAUUCGAUUUUAACAGUCUUUGUUUUUUUUUUUUUCUUUUUUAAUCAAG